UACGUAGGGGGCAAGCGUUGUCCGGAUUUAUUGGGCGUAAAGAGCGUGUAGGCGGCCAUUCAGGUCAGCUGUGAAAACUCGAGGCUCAACCUCGAGACGUCGGUUGAAACCAUCUGGCUAGAGUCCGGAAGAGGAGUGUGGAAUUCCCGGUGUAGCGGUGAAAUGCGCAGAUAUCGGGAAGAACACCCGUGGCGAAGGCGGCACUCUGGGACGGUACUGACGCUGAGAUGCGAAAGCGUGGGGAGCGAACAGG
rnacentral:rRNA from 1 species